rnacentral:rRNA from 1 species
AGAGUUUGAUCCUGGCUCAGGAUGAACGCUAGCGGCAGGCUUAAUACAUGCAAGUCGUGGGGCAGCGCAGGUAGCAAUACUGGGCGGCGACCGGCAAACGGGUGCGGAACACGUACACAACCUUCCUUCAAGUGGGGAAUAGCCCAGAGAAAUUUGGAUUAAUACCCCGUAACAUAACGAUGUGGCAUCACAUUGUUAUUAUAGCUUCGGCGCUUGUUGAUGGGUGUGCGGCUGAUUAGAUAGUUGGCGGGGUAACGGCCCACCAAGUCUACGAUCAGUAGCUGAUGUGAGAGCAUGAUCAGCCACACGGGCACUGAGACACGGGCCCGACUCCUACGGGAGGCAGCAGUAAGGAAUAUUGGUCAAUGGACGAAAGUCUGAACCAGCCAUGCCGCGUGAAGGAUUAAGGUCCUCUGGAUUGUAAACUUCUUUUAUCUGGGACGAAAAAAGGCGAUUCUUCGUCACUUGACGGUACCAGAUGAAUAAGCACCGGCUAACUCCGUGCCAGCAGCCGCGGUAAUACGGAGGGUGCAAGCGUUAUCCGGAUUCACUGNGUUUAAAGGGUGCGUAGGCGGGCAGGUAAGUCAGUGGUGAAAUCCUAGAG